UGAUCUCUUUUUUUCCUCAUGACUUUGGGAGGUGAGUGCUAUAAUGAAUUACCUUUAUUUUACAGGUGAGGAAACCAAGGCAGAGGUUGUGACUUCCCCAGUAAAUGCUGCUCCUUGGCCUCUGUCUUUUCUUAUCAAGGCUGAAACUGCUCUGAUUUCAUUUAUUUUUUGGAAGAAGAGGAAUGGCCUUCUUAUUUCCUUUACUUUGUGGAAUUUCUAG
rnacentral:lncRNA from 1 species